CAGAGGUGCUAAGCGUUGUUCGGAUUUAUUGGGCGUAAAGGGUGCGUAGGCGGUGAUGCAAGUCGGGUGUGAAAUACUGGAGCCUAACUCCAGAACGGCAUUCGAAACUGCAUCGCUAGAGAACUGGAGAGGUGAGUGGAAUUCUCGGUGUAGCAGUGAAAUGCGUAGAUAUCGAGAGGAACACCAGAGGCGAAAGCGACUCACUGGACAGAUUCUGACGCUGAGGCACGAAAGCUAGGGGAGCAAACGGGAUUAGAUACCCCGGUAGUCCUAGCCGUAAACGGUGCAUAUUUGAGGUAGGAGGAUUCGACCCCUUCUGUCUCGCAGCUAACGCGUUAAAUAUGCCGCCUGGGGAGUACGGUCGCAAGAUUA
rnacentral:rRNA from 1 species